UCCGUAGGGUGCGAGCGUUAAUCGGAAUUACUGGGCGUAAAGCGUGCGCAGGCGGUUUGCUAAGACCGAUGUGAAAUCCCCGGGCUCAACCUGGGAACUGCAUUGGUGACUGGCAGGCUAGAGUAUGGCAGAGGGGGGUAGAAUUCCACGUGUAGCAGUGAAAUGCGUAGAGAUGUGGAGGAAUACCGAUGGCGAAGGCAGCCCCCUGGGCCAAUACUGACGCUCAUGCACGAAAGCGUGGGGAGCAAACAGG
rnacentral:rRNA from 1 species